rnacentral:rRNA from 1 species
UGCCGUCUUUUGAGCGACGUGGUCCCACCCCAUCCCAUUCCGAACUGGGAAGUGAAACGCGUCAGCGCCAACAAUACCUGUUUCGCGAGAUUCCGGGAAGAUAGGUCAAGGCGGUGG